rnacentral:rRNA from 1 species
ACGACGCGUAUGCAACCUGCCCCCAUCAGGGGAAUAGCCCGCCGAAAGGCGGAUUAAUGCCCCAUAGGCCCAGGGCGCCGCAUGGCGCUAUGGGUAAAGCUCCGGCGGAUGGGGAUGGGCAUGCGUGCCAUUAGCUAGUUGGGGCGGUAACGGCGCACCAAGGCGACGAUGGCUAGGGGGUCUGAGAGGAUGGUCCCCCACACUGGUACUGAGACACGGACCAGACUCCUACGGGAGGCAGCAGUGAGGAAUAUUGGUCAAUGGGCGGAAGCCUGAACCAGCCAUGCCGCGUGCAGGAUGACGGCCCUACGGGUUGUAAACUGCUUUUCCCCGGGAAGAAUAAGCCCCUCGUGAGGGGUGAUGCCGGUACCGGGGGAAUAAGGAUCGGCUAACUCCGUGCCAGCCGCAGC